rnacentral:rRNA from 1 species
UGAGCAAUCUGCCCUUCUCAUCGGAAUAAGCGUUGGAAACGACGUCUAAUGCCGAAUACGACCUCCUUUCGCAUGAUCGGAGGUGGAAAGCUCCGGCGGAGAAGGAUGAGCUCGCGGCCUAUCAGCUAGUUGGUGUGGGUAAUGGCCCACCAAGGCGACGACGGGUAGCCGGCCUGAGAUGGUGACCGGCCACACUGGGACUGAGACACGGCCCAGACUCCUAGGAA